AGUCACAUCUUCCCAGGACCCAGGGCUUUCCUGGACAGUUCAUAGGGUGCAUUAGGGCAACAGGUUGGGCAUAGGUUGUUAAGAGCAUGGCUCCAGCCUAGUCCUCACAGCUUACUGGAGAGUUUGACUCUGCCACUUGGUGGCGGAGAGCUGGAGCGACAGGGCUGGGGACAGGCAGGAUUGCUUUGGCGAAGAUGGUUCUUCCGGGUUCCCCAGUGGACCAGAAGAUCCCCUUCUUUCCUUUUGCCAGAUUGGCAAAUGAUGUUCUCAGCUUGUUCCACUCUUGGGUUCAUCGCACCCCAGAGGACGCCCCGCCGAGGCGCAGACGGAUCUCCAGCAAGGCGGGUGGAAAAAAAAAAAAAAAACCAGCUGGCCUUCAGGAGAGAGCUGCCCUGUUCAUGCGGGGAAAAAGAGAAAAGAGGACAUGGUGAAAGCUAAGGCACUGUGGAUUGACCAGGCGGCCGCAGCUCCAACCCACGCUCCAAGAAAGAACAGUGGUCCGGGGGAUGACCAAGGAUGAGUCUCCUACCGUGGCCUGCUUGGGGGCAGAUCUAGCUCCCCCUCCCGCCUUUCUUUUACAACUUCCAUGCCUAAGACAAAAUGAUCAAGGAACCCAACCCGUACCUUCACAACCAGACCCUCCGGGUUAUCCCAGGCCUGCAUAUCGCAGAGCCCGGGCGGGGAUUGCAGCGUGCACGGAAUCGAAUUAAACGCAUCUCGGUGGU